GGCCACGGCGGCAAGGGCGAGCCAGGGCGCAGCCCACAGCGGCCACGGCGACCCGCUGACCACCGGCUUGACGACGCGUGCCCGGAUGGCGAGCAAUUCGUCAAUCACGUCGUCGCUCCACGGUCGAAAGGACGGGUCGCCGUCGUGCGGUUGUCCUUUGGCAACUCCAUCGAGGAUGCACGCCUUGAUGUGUUCGAGUAUAUCGACGCGGUCGCCAGCGAUGGCGGCGCAGAGACACGCGUCCCAGCGGAAUCCAUGCGGCGGACCAUAGAUGUCGGGACGGUCGGCGGCGAGGCGCAAACCGACGAGGUCACCGGCAGCACACAGGGAUAGGAGCGUCGCGUACCGGUACCGGCACGCGUGGCGCACGGCGUCGCCCAGGACACUAAAGCGACGCCAGGCCAGCAGGCACGCGCCAAUGUCCCUGGCGUCCCACACAUGCUCGGCCAUGAUGGCGCAUAGGAUUUCAUCGGGCAGGAUGUCAAUAUCGGGCGCAGGCUCUAUCGUCG
rnacentral:lncRNA from 1 species